UACGAAGGGGACUAGCGUUGUUCGGAAUCACUGGGCGUAAAGCGCACGUAGGCGGAUAUGUCAGUCAGGGGUGAAAUCCCGGGGCUCAACCUCGGAACUGCCCUUGAUACAGCAUAUCUUGAGUCCGAUAGAGGUGGGUGGAAUUCCUAGUGUAGAGGUGAAAUUCGUAGAUAUUCGGAAGAACACCAGUGGCGAAGGCGACUCACUGGACACGUAUUGACGCUGAGGUGCGAAAGCGUGGGGAGCAAACAGG
rnacentral:rRNA from 1 species